ensembl:lncRNA
GAGGACUUCAAUUCAUUUACACAAGUAUGAGGAAACCAGGAAAUUUAACACUAGCAUUGAGUGACUAAAUACAUAGCAUUUAGUGCCACGGUGGCAUCACACAAAUGCGAUAGAAUCAUUAUAAACCAUGAAAUGAAGGGAAAACUAGAAAAUUCAAAAUAGAACCAGCCAGCAUGCUGUGUCCAUCUUCAUGCCUGUUUCCUCUUCAUAUGGGCCACCAAGUCCAUCUCUGAGGGAAAUCUCCAAUCAGACACCUAGAUCAUCAGCUGCUGUGACUGCUGUGAAGGAUGUUUCAGCUGGACAUGAUUCCUUGGUUUUGGAAUGCUUUUCCCAUUUAUCAUGGAAAACCUCCAUUCUUCCCGAUUCCUUAUUUUUGCUGGGAUCUUCUUCAUCUACCUCCUCCUUUCAGAGACAAUUAUGAAAAUAACAGAAGAUUUGCCAUUUUACAUUUUAGGAUGAGACUUCAUUCCAUUACAGGAAGUACUUGUGAGGAAUGUACCACCUACAUCAGCUUCUAGCUGACUUGCUGCAUUUGCAGUAAAACCCUCUGUCAAUAAUUGCAUUCUGUGUUUUAUGAACUAAGAGUACAAGUCCCGAGCUUAGGAAUUUACUGAUGGCUCCAACAUGACCCCAUUGUCACACCUGCACCCAGCCCAAACCUUGGCAGUGGAGGAAGGUCCUCUGGCACGACUUAAAGAAAGCAGAAGACAUUGAAAGCAGGAAUAUCACAGGACAUCAAACAUACAAGAGCGCCAAGCAAACCUCUUUCUUCCAAAUGUGGUCUCUAGAAGAAGCCAAGUAGAGCUACAGUUCAGGUUUCACGUCAUCAAUGUGGAGCCUAUGGGAACCAAAGGUGACUUUAGAAUGGAUCUGCUGAUGCAACCCUGGGUUCUGUGUCUGUAACGCUCAGAGCUGAAGCCUGAGGGAUGAAGAACCCAGCUGUGCCACCCUACUUCGUUAAGGAGUAUUUACUCACUUUGAUUACUCUCAUAAGGAAGUGGAUUUUAGUUACUGGUUUGACAUGGAGCCUUCAGGAAGAGACACUCUAUUCUAAAAGCCUCUGCCAGGGCACAGCAUCUCCUGGUGCCUUCUCACCAUCCCUGGCCAACAUUCUCAUAAUCACAAGACAAGAAAUAUUCUUCCUUGGGACAGUCUAAAUGGUACAUAAAUCAGAACAGCUGAAUUAAGAUUUGAAAUGUGCUACUUCUAUCUCAAGCCCAAUGAAGAGCUGUGUGUUUGAGAAUUUGCCUAUUUUUUUUUCAUCUAAUAAAAGCUAUUUACUCUACCAGUGAAUCGGAAACCAAAUACCAAAUCUUUACUGCUUAAUAAAUACCAAAACCUAAAUAUUUUGCUAAUUACUUUUCCCAUUGAGCAGAUUAUAGGGGAUGUUGCUCAGCUCAUAUCAGUGAAAUACAGUACUUUACUGAUCUUGGAAAACUACUUGGAUUUGUUUUUUUUCCUGAGCUCUCCUUUCUCUUUCCAAAGGCCAGCUACAAACUUCCUCUGUUCUGAAACUUUCCCCCUGCAGACUGGACCAGAUGCAAUUAUUUCCU